rnacentral:rRNA from 1 species
CACGGUAAACGAUGGAUGCCCGCUGUUGGCGAUACAGUGUCAGCGGCCAAGCGAAAGCGUUAAGCAUCCCACCUGGGGAGUACGCCGGCAACGGUGAAACUCAAAGGAAUUGACGGGGGCCCGCACAAGCGGAGGAACAUGUGGUUUAAUUCGAUGAUACGCGAGGAACCUUACCCGGGCUUGAACUGCAGCAGAACGAUUCAGAGAUGAUGAGGUCCUUCGGGACUGCUGUGGAGGUGCUGCAUGGUUGUCGUCAGCUCGUGCCGUGAGGUGUCGGCUUAAGUGCCAUAACGAGCGCAACCCUUUUCUUCAGUUGCCAUCAGGUGGAGCUGGGCACUCUGGAGACACUGCCACCGUAAGGUGUGAGGAAGGUGGGGAUGACGUCAAAUCAGCUCGGCCCUUACGUCCGGGGCUACACACGUGUUACAAUGGGGAGUACAGAGAGUCGAGUGCCGGCAACGUCACUCCAAUCGUGAAAGCUCUCCUCAGUUCGGAUUGGGGUCUGCAACCCGACC